GUGGCGGCCCUGUCUGCGAGCAAAGGGUACGGAAGUUUAACUUGGCGGCCCAGUUCGUUAGCCGACUGUAUUCUCGGGUUCGAGUCGAGUAAUUUUAAACCGCUUUCGACAAAUCCCUAAUUUGUUUGAUUCCGGGUUAGUCCGACCCAAUCAGAGCUUCUUCUUCUUCUUCUUCUCUCUCUCCUGUGAAAAAUGGGUUACAGCGACGAUGCAGAAGAGCUUUUGAAGCGGAGACCGAGGAAAAUGGCGUAUCUCGGAAACCCAUCUCGCAGGCAAUUGAAUAGCAGAGGACGUUCCGAUACCCUAAUGGGAGAAAUGAGUUAUAUGCAAGAGGAAGAUAUUUCGUUAGACGCCAUACGAGCUUGAUGGACAAAUGUUCUCAAAGGGCAUAGCGAGUUAGCAGAGCGUCUUUCUAGGGAUGCCAACAAGAUAAUUUAUGAGCGUCUACAGAAGGAAUUUGAAGAUGCACGGGCUUCACAAACUCAAGAGAAUUAUUUGGAUGGUGAACGAUGGAACGAUGGUCUACUGGCUACAAUAAGAGAGCGGGUGACUUGUUGUUUGGAAGGGGCAAGAAUUGGCAAACUCUAUGAGAUAUCUUAUGCUGGUAUGCUGUGAAGUAAUUGAUUUUCAAUUAGUUAGUAUCUUAUGUGUCUUGUAUGGUAUCAUGUCAUUUGACUCAUUUUUCUAUCUAAAAAAGGGUUAUGUUCUAUCUGACGUCAUUGUCUGCCGUGUGAAAUAUUCCAUAAGCAAACUGAAGGUUGAUAGUUGUGUAAGAAUCCUAUGUGGACUUAACAAGUUGUGAUAAAGGAGAGGUUAUGUGUUGAUAAUAUAAUUCUCAAGAGUUUUAAUACGUGGAAAAGUUAAUGUCCUAUUAUUGUGGAAACACAUUCUAAAUACUGGGAAAUAACCUAUUUAUUUCAACUGAUAUUUCAUCACUCCAUGUCUACCGGGAUUUGAGGCAACGGGUCAAUAACCACACUUCCACAAUAGAUGGAAGUUGGCUGCCUUGCCUCUAUAAAUGCAGAAAUUCCCUACUCACAAAGAUACGUUAUGAGAUUAGGGUUCUAUCACCAUAAGAACAUAAGGCUUUCAGUGAGUAGAAGAGUUUUCUGCAACAACCAUUGACGAUGUCUUCCUCAGCUUUGAACCUGUCUUCCAUUCAACCCUUGAGCUGAGGGAAUUACAAAAAGUGGAGAGAAGAUGUUGAGAUCGUGCUAGGGCUAAUGGACCUUGAUUUGGCCUUGAGAGAAGAUGAACCAGCACCAUUAACUGAUGAUUCAACUCCUGAUCAGAGGAUGAAAUUUGAAAAAUGGGAGAAGGCUUUGAUGGUGAUGAAGAGGACUAUGAGUGAUACAGUGAGGGGUGGCUUCGCAGCAUGUGACAAAGCUAAAGAUUUCUUGGAAGCUGUGGGAGUGAAGUUCAGAGAGUCUGAGAAGGCACAAAUGGGAGAUUUGAUGAUGACCGUGACAACCGUGAAACUUGAUGAGAAUAAGAUUGUGAGAGCACAUUCUUAAACUUGUUGAGACUGCUGUCAAACUCAGAGAAUUGGUUGUUCCCAUUGACGAUGCAUUCAUAGUCCACAUGGCCCUGAAUUCGUUGCCUCCAAAGUUCAACCAACUGAAGAUUUCUUAUAAUACUCAGAAGGAGAAAUGGGCAUUGGAUGACUUGAUCUCAAUCUGUGCACAGGAAAAAGCUAGAAUCAAAAGGGAUGAAGUUUUUUCACACCAUUAAUAUGGUGCAUGCUGACAAGGGUAAGAUAGUGGCUUACAACUCUGGUAAGGUCCCUAAUCUUGACAAUAAGUUCACUUCUGCUCCAUAUGCAUCCUCCUCUAAAGGACCCGUGACACAUAUGGAUUACAUGGACAAAAUCAAGUGUUAUUUUUUAAAAAAGCUUGGGCAUAUGAAAAGGGAUUGUGACAAAUGAAAGAUUUGGAAAAAUAAGAAAGGGGUUCACAAGAGGAACUACAACAAAAAGAAGUGAAGAUUUUCAAGUUCAUGUUGGCAAUGGAAAUAAAGUAGUUGUGGAAGCGAUAGGCAACCUCAAGCUAAAGCUUUCAAGUGGUUUUAUUUUAGAAUUAAGUGAUGUUCUUUAUGUACCUUCUUUAAGAAGGAAUUUAAUUUCUGCUUCUCAACUUGUGUAGUCCGGAUUUGCUUUUAGUGGUGACAUUGAAAGUGUAAGGAUUUUUAUGAAAAAUAAUCCAAGUGAAAUACUUGGAAUUUGUUUCUUAAUGCAUGAUUUAUGGCGUCUGCUUUGCUCA